AGUAGCAAUACUUGAGCUAGAGUGUCGUACGGGUGCGUAACACGUAUGCAACCUACCUUUUACAGGAGUAUAGCUCCCCGAAAGGGGAAUUAACCCUCCAUAAUAUCAUUGGAUGGCAUCAUUUGAUGAUUAAAACUGAGGUGGUAAAAGAUGGGCAUGCGUCUGAUUAGUUAGUUGGCAGUGUAACGGACUACCAAGACGAUGAUCAGUAGGGGACCUGAGAGGGUGAUCCCCCACACUGGCACUGAGAUACGGGCCAGACUCCUACGGGAGGCAGCAGUAGGGAAUAUUGGACAAUGGGUGAGAGCCUGAUCCAGCCAUGCCGCGUGCAGGAAGAAGGCGUUAUGCGUUGUAAACUGCUUUUGCCAGGGGAUAAAACGGUUCUGCGGAACUAAUUGAAGGUACCUGGUGAAUAAGCCACGGCUAACUACGUGCCAGCAGCCGCGGUAAUACGUAGGUGGCAAGCGUUGUCCGGAUUUAUUGGGUUUAAAGGGUGCGUAGGCGGCCCUGUAAGUCAGUGCUGAAAUAUCCCGGCUUAACCGGGAGGGUGGCAUUGAUACUGCAGGGCUUGAGUACAGAUGAGGUAGGCGGAAUUGACGGUGUAGCGGUGAAAUGCAUAGAUAUCGUCAAGAACACCGAUAGCGAAGGCAGCUUACCAAGCUGUAACUGACGCUGAGGCACGAAAGUGUGGGGAUCAAACAGGAUUAGAUACCCUGGUAGUCCACACUGUAAACGUUGAUGACUCGAUGUUGGCGAUAUACAGCCAGCGUCCAAGAGCAAUCGUUAAGUCAUC
rnacentral:rRNA from 1 species